rnacentral:lncRNA from 1 species
UGCCGUCACCGGAGCCCCUCAAGCCACCGUUACAGCCUUCGAUCUUCACUUUGCUCUCGUCUCCUCUCUCCUCCGCCUUGCCUGAGUUCUGGAACAAGACCGCCGGUGGCGGUUCUGUCUCUGGAGUAAAGGCGCGGUUGUGUUGAGGAAGGCGUGGUGAAGUUCUUUGUUUGGCUUUUUGGUUUUGCCUCCGGGAGGCGGAGGCUCCCCUAGCUCUGUCGACGCCGGUUCCUGUCCCCGCGAGGUGGAGGCUUCAUCAGCUCUGCCGUCGUCGGUCUUGGUCACGGGGGGUGAAGGCGUUCCAUGCCUUGCUUCGCCGUCUGUUUGUUUCCCUGGUUCCGUUUUAGGGUUAGUAUGGUUUUUUCCUUUUAGUCUUUACGCUUUGAGUUUGGGUUGGAUUGGUGGCGACGACGUCAGAGGACGAUCGAAGCUCGACCAUGGUUAACGGUGAUGGUUUCGCGUGAAGCCUUUCUCUCGGUGUUUGUGAUGAAUGGUUUCGGAUGAGAUCUCGCACAGUCGAUUGAUUCUCUCCGCCUUUGGGUUCACUCGAGUUGAAGACGUUUGCGGUGGUGAUGGUGUGGGUCUAUGAGGUCCGGUGGAUCCGGGUGAAUCGAAGGUUGAUUACCCGGUGUUGUUUCGAAGCGAGGACGUCGUCGGAGCCGUAGCGUUUGUGCGCGCGGCGGCGGAGCCUCUCGUCUCCUAGGGUUUUCUUUGUUUGGGCCUUGGGCCCGGAAUUGUGUUGUAUUUUUUUGGGCCGUCUUUCAUGGCCGUUUGUAUGUUGGGUUUGGGGCUUAGGCCCGUUAAUCAAAUUUCUAAUCGACGGAAAAAAAAAAAAAAGAAAUUUGAGGAUCAGACAAAAUGAAGAUGGAGCCCACAAUGGCUGCAACGCUGAUCACUUCUUUCCUCUU